AACGAACGUUGGCGGCGUGGAUUAGGCAUGCCAGUCGUACGAGUUUCCUCUGGGUAUCUGGAUGAAAAGAGUGGCGAAAGGGGCAGUAAGGCAUGGAUAAUCUACCCUGAUGACCGGGAUAGCUGUCCCAAAGGGCAGGUAAUACCGGAUGAGCUGGUGGGGCCGCAUGGUUCUGCUAGGAAAGGCGCAAGCCGUGUCGGGAGGAAUCCGUGUGGUAUUAGCUAGUUGGUGAGGUAAAGGCGCACCAAGGCGAAGAUGUCUAGCGGGUGCGAGAGCACGAGACCGGCCAUUGGGGCUGUGACACUGGCCAGACUCCUAUGGGGGGCUGAAGUGGGGGAAAUUCGGCAAUGGGGGAGGGCGUGAGCGAGCGACGCCGCGUGAGCGGUGAAGGCCAUUAGGUUGUAAAGCUCUGUUUAGGGGGAACAAGCCGCAAGGUGAAGGGAUCCCGGGAGGAAGCACGGGCUAAGUUCGUG
rnacentral:rRNA from 1 species